ensembl:lncRNA
AAUAGAUUGCAUUUGUCUGUGUCAGAAAUGCAGCAAUUCUGAAUUAUCAGUUCAUGCAAUAGAAGCUUACAUUUCAAAUAAAGAAGUUCCAGUCUUAAACUCUGCAAAUAAAUUGCUUGGAAGUGUUAUUAUUCAGGGAGGAAUCAUAUGAAGUUCUUACCAAAGGAUAUGAUUGGCUGUAAGAACACACUGGAAAACAAAGUCUUAAUCAAGGAAUAAACUGCUGUUCAGCAUCUCAUAGCUAGGAAACAGAAAAAAGCCUUCUCCGUCUUCCUGUGCUGUGGAGACAAUGAGAGAAAAAGACAUGGGCAGAGGCAUCUUGGCAGUAGGACCACAUGUGGAUUUUCAGUCAUUACAAAGGUCUUGGCGUGGAAAUGAGGAAACAAUGUAUCAGAACAUCACAUAGAUGUUGAUUGCUGGCAUGUACUAGCUUAUGGAGCAAAACUGUGUUAAUCAAGUUUAAUGCCAGUGUUCUCUUGUGAUUGCAGUAAUUUUAAUAGCAAUUUAUUGUUUCACAUUAAUGUGAACCAGAUCCUAACAUCUGAAGCAUUAGAUGGACUAAUUGCAGACUACCGAGAAAAAGUUUGUUUUCAGUAACUACAGAUAAUUUCUGUAAAGCUAGAAGGCAAUCAAAGCACAAGAAGAAGUAACAUUGCUUGUGAUAUUUUCUCUGGGGAUAUACUUUUAACACUAUAUUACCGAGUAUACCACAUCAUUUGUGCUGGCUCAUUGACUUGAGAGUUAGUUUUGCUUCUCAUGUGUGGUGGAGCAAGAAAUCAGGCAGUAAACACUAUCAGAAUUGUCAACAACCUUAGAUAGUAGCUAAUGCUAACUGAACAGAUAAGAAUUUGUAAAUAUAAUAUGUACUUUCAAAAUAUGCUUGGGCAUAGAGGGGAAGAGCCUGCAAGAAGACAUGCUGUGUUUGCUGGGAUAUACAACCUACUUUGUUUUCAAAUGAGAAAUGAAUGAAGAAAUUGUUUUUUAAGAAAUAUAAUUCAAGGUUAUGUGAGAAAGCUUUCAGAUUAACUCUUCAGGUGCUGAAAAAGUUUUAAACUACAACAUUAUUUUGCUUCCUGUCUUGUAUCAUUCUAAAGGUAAUUCUUAAACAAUUUGAUCUGUCACCUCUGAAUGCUGAUGAUGUUUCUGUCUUCCCUUGUCAAGCAGGAGUGAAUAAGGAAAAUGGGAAAAAUAACAACUGUUGGUACUGCAAGAUAUUUUAAUGCUGUUCAGAACACUAUAUUAGAUUCAUGCAAAUAAUUAAAUGGAAGAAGUCUGCAAU